UUCCGGUUGAUCCCGCCGGACCCCACUGCUAUCGGGAUAGGACUAAGACAUGCUAGUCAAGCGCUCGCCAGCCAAAGGCAAGUGCGGCGUACAGCUCAGUAACACGUGGCUAACCUGCCCUUGGGACAAGGACACCCCCGGGAAACUGGGGCUAAUCCUCGAUAGGUGAAGAACUCUGGAAUGAAUCCUCGCCCAAAAGAAGCUUGCGCUAUGCUCGUAAGCUCCGCCCAAGGAUGGGGCCGCGACCGAUCAGGUAGUUGGUGAGGCAACGGCUCACCAAGCCUUUUACCGGUGCGGGCCGUGGGAGCGGGAGCCCGGAGAUGGGCACUGAGACAAGGGCCCAGGCCCUACGGGGCGCAGCAGUCGCGAAAACUUUGCAAUACACGAAAGUGUGACAGGGCUAUCCCGAGUGCCAUCCGCUGAGGAAGGCUUUUACCCAGUGUAGAAAGCUGGGGGAAUAAGGAGAGGGCAAGACUGGUGUCAGCCGCCGCGGUAAUACCAGCUCUCCGAGUGGUGUGGAUGUUUAUUGGGCCUAAAGCAUCCGUAGCUGGCUGGACAAGUCCCCUGUUAAAUCCACCGAUUUAAUCGUUGGUGUGCGGGGGAUACUGUUUGGCUAGGGGACGGGAGAGGCCGACGGUAUUUUCGGGGUAGGGGUGAAAUCCUAUAAUCCCGGGAAGACCACCAGUGGCGAAGGCUGUCGGCUAGAACGCGCCCGACGGUGAGGGAUGAAAGCUGGGGGAGCGAACCGGAUUAGAUACCCGGGUAGUCCCAGCUGUAAACGAUGCAGGCUAGGUGUUUGGGCGGCCACGUGCCGCUCUAGUGCCGCAAGGAAGCUGUUAAGCCUGCCGCCUGGGGAGUACGGCCGCAAGGCUGAAACUUAAAGGAAUUGGCGGGGGAGCACCACAAGGGGUGAAGCUUGCGGUUUAAUUGGAUUCAACGCCGGG
rnacentral:rRNA from 1 species